CAGCAGCCACGGUAAUACGUAGGGUGCAAGCGUUAAUCGGAAUUACUGGUCGUAAAGCGUGCGUAGGUGGUGGUUUAAGUCCGUUGUGAAAGCCCUGGGCUCAACCUGGGAAUUGCAGUGGAUACUGGGUCACUAGAGUGUGGUAGAGGAUAGUGGAAUUUCCGGUGUAGCAGUGAAAUGCGUAGAGAUCGGAAGGAACAUCUGUGGCGAAGGCGACUAUCUGGGCCAACACUGACACUGAGGCACGAAAGCGUGGGGAGCGAACAGGAUUAGAUACCCGCGUAGUCCCUGUCUCUUAUAC
rnacentral:rRNA from 1 species